GUUCUCCCAGCCUGACACAGUGUAUUCAACAGAACUGUCUGAUUUCUUGGCAGAAGGCUUGGGAUGCAGUCUUUACUUGGUGCUGCCAGGAUAGCUUGGCUUUCCUCUUGUGUGCCCCUGGUUAUGAAACCAUCACCUGCCCAAGGUCAGAGGAGUUAAAAUGAAGCAAGAAAUAACUAAACAUUGAGGAAGCAUUUUGAAGACAUGAGAAGUCAAAAAGAAAAAAAAAAGGCAUGAGAAGUCCAGCAACCCAGAAAUUACCCGAAAGUUUGUCUCUAUGGGCCCAGUCUGAGGAGCUGGGAUAGAGAGCACAUUCAUGAGGACCUGCUGUAUGAAAUCAUCUUGGCUACAUCAGGCGAGCCAAACAGCAUUCAUUCCUGAGGGAUUUCCUAUAGGGAACCGAGAUCAACCCCGAUGUAGAGCAUCCGCAAGCUCACUGUCCAUUAGUUGCCAGUGAGGAAACUUGUGGCUUAAAGGGUGUUCUCAGUGUGAUCUCCAGCCCAGCUGUGUUCCAGCCCACUGCCCUGAACAUCCCUUCCCCAGAGUCAGUGGAGAACAAUGAGCAGUAAGUAGUGUGCCCUCCUCCAAGUCUUGAGCGGCUGAGUCGGACCUUGGCCUCCCCACAGCUGGCUAGCCCACCUAGGGUGGAGUCUUCCGACCUAGGUGAAGUCUAUUGGCCUGCCAUAUCUGCAGCUUCCUACAAGGAGCCACCACCUGCUGAACUGCUAAGCCUGAGGGGAUCCUGACAAGGAGACAAGAUCCUGGCAUAGUGGGGGAUAAGUCCCCCCCCCUUUAUAAGCUCAGACUCAUAAGUAAACAUUGGGCCUUGAUCAGAAA